AUGCUGAACAAGAUGGCGGCGCGCAUAGACGCAGCGGCCCGGAGCUCCUACAUUUUUGCACUUUUGGUGGCACUGUGUAUCAUUUCACACAGUCUGGGUUUACUUCAGUACAACCGAGAUGAUCUACUACAACUAUUACAACUAAGUCGUGGAGAUCUUCAACUAACAUCUGAGUAUCUCAUCCCCCCGGAGAUCGUCAAGCAACCCCCGGGGCUACCCGCAACAGCGAGCCGCAGGAGGAGACGCUGCGAGCGGAGGCAGAAGAGAGGCAGGCGGGGAGGCCUGUGGGCACGGCUAAAGGCUAGUCCGUUCAAACCACCACUCCCGACCAUAUUCCUCUCCAAUGCUCGUUCAAUCCGUUACAAGCUGGAUGAAAUACAGCUGCAGAUCGCCACUCGACGGACUUUCAACAACUGUUCGUGCAUGAUCUUCACUGAAACCUGGCUGGACAGCGCCAUUCCCGACGCGGCUAUUGAGCUAGCAGGCCGCACUGCCUACCGAGCCGACAGGUCUGCGGACUCUGGUAAGAAGACCGGCGGGGGGCUGUGCAUCUAUAUCAACAACUUUUGGUGCACGAACGUCACGGUAACGGACAGACUGUGCAGUGCAGAGGCAGAACUGUUGGUGCUAAAGUGCCGUCCAUUCUAUCUCCCUCGGGAAUUUUCUGCCGUUUACUUCUGCGCUGUUUACAUUCCACCAGAUGCUAAUGCUAAGCUAGCAUUAGCUCAACUGAGCAGCAGCAUCAAUAACAGCCUGGUAGCACACCCGGACAGUGUCUUUAUUGCGGCUGGGGAUUUUAACCACACGGACCUGAAAUCUGUACUUCACAAUUUCCACCGAAAUGUGAAGUGUGCUACCAGAGGAGAUAGAACUUUGGACCAGGUGUACACCAAUAUGGCGAACGCAUACAGAGCCCAGGCCUAUCCCCACCUGGGUCUGUCAGACCAUCUCUCUCUUCUGCUACACCCAAUAUACACACCAAAGAUCAAGAGCACUGGGAUUAUAACCAAAACCGUGAGAACAUGGCCGCAGGAUGCUAUUCCUGGGAAGUAUUCAAGGAGCAGGACACUGACAAUCAUGUCGCAUUGGACAGUUACACCUCCACUGUCUUGGACUACAUCUGUUUCUGUGUGGACAAUGUAA
rnacentral:lncRNA from 1 species